rnacentral:rRNA from 1 species
CAGCCGCCACGGGAAUACAGAGGGUGCGAGCGUUAAUCGGAUUUACUGGGCGUAAAGCGUGCGUAGGCGGCUUCUUAAGUCGGAUGUGAAAUCCCUGAGCUUAACUUAGGAAUUGCAUUCGAUACUGGGAAGCUAGAGUAUGGGAGAGGAUGGUAGAAUUCCAGGUGUAGCGGUGAAAUGCGUAGAGAUCUGGAGGAAUACCGAUGGCGAAGGCAGCCAUCUGGCCUAAUACUGACGCUGAGGUACGAAAGCAUGGGGAGCAAACAGGAUUAGAUACCCGGGUAGUCCCUGUCUCUUAUAC